rnacentral:rRNA from 1 species
UACGAAGGGUGCAAACGUUGCUCGGAAUUACUGGGCGUAAAGCGCGCGUAGGCGGCUUUGUAAGUUAGAGGUGAAAGCCCGGAGCUCAACUCCGGAAUUGCCUUUAAGACUGCAUCGCUAGAAUCAUGGAGAGGUUAGUGGAAUUCCGAGUGUAGAGGUGAAAUUCGUAGAUAUUCGGAAGAACACCAGUGGCGAAGGCGACUAACUGGACAUGUAUUGACGCUGAGGUGCGAAAGCGUGGGGAGCAAACAGG